GUUGGGCAUGGUGGUGCAUGCCUGUAAUGCCAGCAACUCAGGAACCUGAGACAGGAGGAUUGCAAGUUCAAGGCCAGCUUCAGCAACUUAGUGAGAUCCUAUCUCAA
rnacentral:sRNA from 1 species